GACGGAGGAUGCAAGUGUUAUCCGGAAUUACUGGGCGUAAAGCGUCUGUAGGUGGUUUAGUAAGUCGAUUGUUAAAGCUUGGGGCUUAACUCCAAAACAGCAAUGGAAACUGCUAGACUUGAGUAUGGUAGAGGUAAAAGGAAUUUCCAGUGGAGCGGUGAAAUGCGUAGAUAUUGGAAAGAACACCGAUGGCGAAGGCAUUUUACUGGGCCAUAACUGACACUCAGAGACGAAAGCUAGGGUAGCAAAUGGGAUUAGAUACCCCAGUAGUCCUAGCUGUAAACGAUGGAUACUAGAUGUUGCACGUAUCGACCCGUGCAGUGUCAUAGCUAACGCGUUAAGUAUCCCGC
rnacentral:rRNA from 1 species